rnacentral:rRNA from 1 species
GGGCUCACGGCCUAUCAGCUUGUUGGUGGGGUAAUGGCCUACCAAGGCGACGACGGGUAGCCGGCCUGAGAGGGUGACCGGCCACACUGGGACUGAGACACGGCCCAGACUCCUACGGGAGGCAGCAGUGGGGAAUAUUGCACAAUGGGCGCAAGCCUGAUGCAGCGACGCCGCGUGAGGGAUGACGGCCUUCGGGUUGUAAACCUCUUUCAGCACGGAAGAAGCGAAAGUGACGGUACGUGCAGAAGAAGCGCCGGCUAACUACGUGCCAGCAGCCGCGGUAAUACGUAGGGCGCAAGCGUUGUCCGGAAUUAUUGGGCGUAAAGAGCUCGUAGGCGGUUUGUCGCGUCUGCUGUGAAAGCCCGGGGCUUAACCCCGGGUGUGCAGUGGGUACGGGCAGACUUGAGUGCAGUAGGGGAGACUGGAACUCCUGGUGUAGCGGUGAAAUGCGCAGAUAUCAGGAAGAACACCGAUGGCGAAGGCAGGUCUCUGGGCUGUUACUGACGCUGAGGAGCGAAAGCAUGGGGAGCGAACAGGAUUAGAUACCCUGGUAGUCCAUGCCGUAAACGUUGGGCACUAGGUGUGGGGGACAUUC